rnacentral:tRNA from 1 species
AUGCCCGAUCCUCUAAUGGUAAGAGAGCGGACUCUGACUCCGUCAAUCAAGGUUCGAAUCCUUGUCGGGCAUCCAA